rnacentral:lncRNA from 1 species
AGAACACCAAGGGCUGGUGCGCCACCCAUAAUUCCUUUGGGCUUCCCCCGGGAGGGUUGCCCCCCUCCCGGUGAACUUCCGGAACCCAUUCGUCACUCCCGGUACAUUCCCGGUAAUGCCCGAAAACUUUCCGGUAACCAAAUGAAGUCAUCCUAUAUAUCAAUCUUCGUCUCUGGAUCAUUUCGGAAACCCUCGUGACGUCCGUGAUCUCAUUCGGGACUCCGAACAACAUUCGUAACCACACAUAUAACUCAAC